rnacentral:rRNA from 1 species
CACGUAGGGACCGAGCGUUGUCCGGAUUUAUUGGGCGUAAAGAGCUCGUAGGCGGUCCGUCACGUCGGCUGUGAAAACCCGAGGCUCAACCUCGGGCCUGCAGUCGAUACGGGCAGACUAGAGUGCGGUAGGGGAGACUGGAAUUCCUGGUGUAGCGGUGAAAUGCGCAGAUAUCAGGAGGAACACCCGGGGCGAAGGCGGCCCUCUGGCUCGACCCUGACGCUGAGGCGCGAAAGCGUGGGGAGCGAACGGG